rnacentral:lncRNA from 1 species
CUGGAAAUCCUUGGAUCAUCUUUGGAUCACCACACCUGCGGCAGAAGCACUCCAGCAGCUGCGCCCUUGCGCCAGCCCCUUCUUUCUUUCUUUUCUUGCUUUCUUUCUUUAUUUUUGUGUUAGUUUCAGCCAUGAGUGGUUGAAACCCUUUUUCUAGUUGAAGAAUAAGGUGAAACUUUGGUUGUUUAUGGAUUGGGAG